UACGUAGGGUCCGAGCGUUGUCCGGAAUUAUUGGGCGUAAAGAGCUCGUAGGCGGUGUGUCGCGUCGGUCGUGAAAACUUGGGGCUUAACUCUGAGCUUGCGGUCGAUACGGGCAUCACUGGAGUUCGGCAGGGGAGACUGGAAUUCCUGGUGUAGCGGUGAAAUGCGCAGAUAUCAGGAGGAACACCGGUGGCGAAGGCGGGUCUCUGGGCCGAUACUGACGCUGAGGAGCGAAAGCGUGGGGAGCGAACAGG
rnacentral:rRNA from 1 species